UCGAAACGGUAAUGUGUACUAGAAAUUCAAACAUAGUUGUGAAGUGACACGUUAUUGAAAUCGUCAUUAUCAUUAAAAAUUACUUUUUUGUAGUAACGACUUGUUAAUUAUUGAAAUUAUCUCUCUUUUUUUCGUUAGUAACGGUAAAGCAAUUACGUUUCUUUAGGUAAUAAUAACAAAUAUAAUUCUCACUUGUAUUGUUAUUUUCCUCACAUAAACAAUAUACAUAAAUAGUAUAUGUAAAAUACACGUACCUGUAGUGGAAAAUAAGAAAUGAUAGAAGACGACUCUUAAACUUGGUUAUAAAGUAACAAAUUGUAACAACCCGUUAUCUCUCGAAUAACAAUAAUACGAACAAUUUAUUUUUGAGAACAAAUAAAGGGUAGUAUGAAAACUAGUAAAGUUGUGACAAUGACGGCAUACCUCCAUGCUUGGUUGAUGAUCGUUCUGAUAAUCAUAAAUAUAAUUACGCUGGGAACAGCUUGUGGGUACAAUUGCAGAAGACCACCAACGUUCAAUGCCAACAAUCUUCCUACAUAUAACACUUAUCGUUGGUAUCGUUGGUAUCCCGCUUCACAACGGACGUAUUUACCAACGCGGAGACCUCAAUUCGAGACCAGGUACCAGAUAUCAGUUGUAAGAAAUAAGAUGCAAUGUCCACUUGGACAACGGAUAGAUCCAAACGGAAUGUGUCGCUAUCGGGCAUAACGUUAAAAUCAGAAUAUGUGAACUGCAUGAAAGCAGGUUCAAAAAUAUCAAUAACUUUCAUGAUACUAUCACUCUUUUUCAAAUGAACUACUACAGAGGUAAUGAGAUAAUUUAAGAAAUACAGGAUAAUAUAUAGUAACUAUUACAGAUGUAUGAAUAAAUAUAAAUAAGCAUGAUUAAUGUUGAUUUUUGUGUUAUUUUGUGUAAAUUUUCUGUAUUAUCUCAGAAUAACUAAACCAAGAUUUUAACACAGUGCAAUCAAGGCACUCUCAAUAGUUUCUUAAUAAUUAUGUCAGUAACAUUCAUUGUGCUCAGUACCAAUAGAAAUAUUCCCAAGCGUUUACUAUCAGAUGUAUCAAUUACGUCAAGUUUUAUUAAAAAGAGUAUUAAUAAUAUUAUUAUUAGCCAUUUAAUAUAAUUUAUAUUAUAUUAUAUUAUAUUAUAUUAUAUUAUAUUAUAUUAUAUUAUAUUAUGUUAUAUUAUAUUAUAUCAUAUGAUAUCACAAGUAAAGAAAAAUAUUGGCGCGCGUAAAUUUUCAAAUGGCAUAAUGAAAUCAUUCCAUUGUGUUUUCUUAAUAAUUGCGCUAAUAGUAAUGAAUAUAUGUUCACACUGGCAACAUCUAAACGCAUCCAAAUAGAGAUAACUACAUCAUUUGCAUCUAACUCCAAUGAAACAUAUUCACUAAAUGCAAAUGCUGGUAUAAAUCGUAUUCAGCAUCUAGUGAAUGUUUCAUUGAAGUCAGAUAUAAAUAAUAUAAUUAUCACUAUUUGGAUGUGUUCAGAUGCUGCCAGUGUGAACAUAUUCAUUACUAUUUGUGCAUUAGAUAGUAUUCAUGUCAUAAACAUACUUUUUAAGCAAGAUAUUGAUUGCUUAAGCAUGAUAUUGAGAAAACAACGAAAAGAUCAAGGUUAUAUAUACUAAAAAGAUAAUAUAUACUAAAAAAAUUCAAACAAAAUCGAAAAGUGAGGCAUAAUAACGUUGUUAUCGCAUUAUGCGUUGCUCUUUUUUUAUAACGACUUAAGAAAUAUUUUUUUCCUCUUGAAUUUCUAUGGAUAACAAGAAUGAAUGUAAUUAUUACUUUUGUUAUUACAAUGCGUAUGUAAAAUAUAUGUGCAUAGGUUAAGCCGUAAUAAAUCAUGAAAACAGUGUCAAAACGUUAUCUCUUAUACGUAGAGCCAUAUUCAUCGUCGAAUCUUUUUUUGAAGUUUAUAUUAAUUUUGGACACUUAUACGACGCCGUCUAAAUUCAUAAUUUAAUGUUAAACAAAAUUGCACAUACGAGUCCAUAAAAGUGCGCUUCGAAUAUAUUGUUCCUAUUGAAAGAAAUAACAGAAAUAUUACACAGCUGAACAGAAACAGCUGUCUCGAGAAUAAACAUUGUCUUAAGUAUUCGCGUAAGUCUUCGCGAGGGCAAUAUCAAAUUAAAUAAGAAUUACUUGAGAGAAAGUCUCUUCGCGAAGGUCGUGUUACAUUAUAAUUACUAAUUCUACCGAUCUUAAUAAAGUCUGAAUUGGAUAAAACAGUCUUUCAUCUAACUAGUCUUAACAAUUUUACUGAUAUAAAUGACGGUAAUUCUCAUCAUGGGUAAGAAAGGACUCAAGUGUCGUCUUGAGACUUGACUAUAAACAGAAUCUGUAAUAAUUUAUUGCUUGUUUAAAGAUCAAUAUAUCAUAUAGGAAACCGGUUUACUUGUAUAACAAUAAUGAAGUUUAUAUAAUGCAGGAGAACCAAUGGGGGAUUGGAAAAUACUAUAAGUAGCAGACGUUCUAUGAAGAAUGUGCAAUGUGUAUUUCUUCGUCGAGACGGGAAUGUGUGCUAGAAAUUCAAAUAUAGUUGUGAAGUGACACAUUAUUAAAAUCGUCAUUAUCAUUAAAAAUUACUUUUUUUACUAACUUUGUUAAUGAAAUUAUCUCUCUUCUUUUUUGUUAGUAACUAUAAUGGUAACGCAACUACGUUUUGUUAGAUAAUAAUAAACAAAUAUAAUUCUCAACUUGUAUUGUUACUUUGCCCACAUAAAUAAUACACGUAAAUAAUACACGUAAAAUACACGUAUUGGAAAGCAAGAAAUGAUAAAAGACGACUCUUAAACUCGGUUAAACAGUAACAAAAAUUGUAACAACCCGUUACCCCUCGAAUAACGAUACUACGAUAAUACGAACAAUUUAUUUUGGAGAACAAAUAAAGGGUAGUGUGAAAACUAAUAAAGUUGUGACAUAGCACAAUGACGGUAUAUCUCCAUGCUUGGUUAAUGAUCGUUCUGAUAAUCAUCAAUAUAAUUACGCUGGGGACAGCUUGUGGGUACAAUUGCAGAAGACCACCAACGUUCAAUGCCAAUAAUCUUCCUACAUAUAACACUUAUCAUCGGUAUCGUUGGUAUCCCGCUUCGCAACGCACGUAUUUACCAAUGCAGAAUACAAAUGUAGGAUAUUAUCCAAGUAUCACCGUUGUAAGAAAUAAGAUGCAAUGUCCAUUUGGACAACGGAUAGAUGCACGCGGAAUGUGUCGCUAUAAGGCAUACCGUUAAAAUCAUAGAAUAUAUCAACUGCAUGUAAGCAGGUCCGAAAAUAUCAGUAAUUUUUAUGAUAUCAUUAUUCUCUCUCACAUAAACUAACACAGAGAUAAUGAGAUAAUUCAAGAGAUGUGCGAUAAUGCGCAGUCACCCUCCACAGAUGUAUGAAUAAAUAUAAAUAUGCAUGAUUAAUGUCGAUUUUUCUGUUAUUUUGCCUGAAUCCUCUGUAUUACUUCAGGAUAAUAAAACAAAAUUUUCACACAACACAAUGAAGACAUUCUCAAUAUACAAUUAAUCAACAAUAAUUAAGAUAAUAAUUCUUAUUAUCGGUAGUGAAGAACUCAAGUGUUGUUUUGAGAUAUGCAUAUAAACACAAUUCUUAGUAAUUCAUUACUUGUUCGAAGAUGAAUAUAUUACAGAGGAAACCAGGAUACUCUCGUAUGACAAUAACGAGUUUAUGUAAUGCGAAGAAACCAAUCGGGGGAUUGAAAAAUAUUAUAAAUAGCAGACGCUUUAUGGAAUGGAGAUAUUGUGUACGUUAUAGUUCAGCCAAUAGAAGCGGUUUAAACAUUUUUUUUUAUCGCCAUAUAGUAUAGCGCACCGCACUGUAAUAGUUACCUUUCUCUUCUGUUCUAUAUUUCGUGCUAGUCAGUCUUGUAAGAAUAUUUGACGCGGCAGCAAUAAAGGUCAGUUUUAAGGAAAUAUUGUCGUAGUUAUUUCCGCGCAGUGAGCAUUGGAAAGAAAUAGCGUCCACAUAUGCACACGGCACAAGUCGUAGCAUCAAGGAUCUUAAUAGCUCAAAGCUCAAAGAUUCUUCCCAGAUCCUAAACAGAAGUAACUGUAACGGUAACACAUUUACGUUUCUUCAGGGUAGUGUGAAAAUAAGUAAAGUUGUGACACAGCAUAAUGGCGGCAUUCCUUCAUGCUUUCUUAAUGAUUGUUCUGAUAAUUAUCAAUGUAACUACGCUGGGGAUAGCUUCGAAGGACAACAUUGGAGGACCAACGUUCAGCAUCACCAAACUUCUUACAUUUAAGAGCUUACAUUUUCGGUAUCCUUCUCCGCAACGCAUAUCUACACCACGUACACCAUAUAUGUCACCAACUUACCUACCUCCUAGUCCAGCUGCAACUACUAUUCCACCUGUAACUGAAUGUGGAUGUGGAUGUGCAUAUGGAUGUGGAGCUGGAGGUGCAGAUCCUAACAUUGCCGUGGUAAAAAGUAAGACAUUUUAUAAGAAAUGUCCAAACAUUGGACAAAGGGAAGAUCCACACGGAAUAUGUCGCGAUGUACAAAGACGUUAAAAUCACAGAAUAUAUGAUCUUCAUGUAAACAGGUCCAAAAGUAUCAGCAACUUUUAUGAUGUUAUCAUUCUCUUUUAAAUGAACUAGCAUAGAAAUAAUGAAAUAAGAGAUAAUUCAAGAGAUUUAUGAUAAUAUAUAGCAAACCCACAGAUGUAUAAAUAAAUAUAAAUAUAAUUAA